rnacentral:rRNA from 1 species
CUUGCUCUCGGGUGACGAGCGGCGGACGGGUGAGUAAUGUCUGGGAAACUGCCUGAUGGAGGGGGAUAACUACUGGAAACGGUAGCUAAUACCGCAUAACGUCGCAAGACCAAAGUGGGGGACCUUCGGGCCUCAUGCCAUCAGAUGUGCCCAGAUGGGAUUAGCUAGUAGGUGGGGUAACGGCUCACCUAGGCGACGAUCCCUAGCUGGUCUGAGAGGAUGACCAGCCACACUGGAACUGAGACACGGUCCAGACUCCUACGGGAGGCAGCAGUGGGGAAUAUUGCACAAUGGGCGCAAGCCUGAUGCAGCCAUGCCGCGUGUGUGAAGAAGGCCUUCGGGUUGUAAAGCACUUUCAGCGGGGAGGAAGGCGAUAAGGUUAAUAACCUUGUCGAUUGACGUUACCCGCAGAAGAAGCACCGGCUAACUCCGUGCCAGCAGCCGCGGUAAUACGGAGGGUGCAAGCGUUAAUCGGAAUUACUGGGCGUAAAGCGCACGCAGGCGGUCUGUCAAGUCGGAUGUGAAAUCCCCGGGCUCAACCUGGGAACUGCAUUCGAAACUGGCAGGCUAGAGUCUUGU